rnacentral:rRNA from 1 species
ACGAACGCUGGUGGCGUGCUUAACACCUGCAAGUCGAACGGGAUUUAGUAAACAGAAGCCUCGGUGGAAGAUUACUAAUGCGAGUGGCGAACGGGUGAGUAACGCGUGAGCAACCUGCCUAUGUCAGUGGGAUAGCCUCGGGAAACCGGGAUUAAUACCGCAUAAAAUCGUAGAAACACAUGUUUUAACGGUCAAAGAUUUAUCGGUCAUAGAUGGGCUCGCGUCUGAUUAGCUAGUUGGUGAGAUAACAGCCCACCAAGGCGACGAUCAGUAGCCGGUCUGAGAGGAUGAACGGCCACAUUGGAACUGAGACACGGUCCAAACUCCUACGGGAGGCAGCAGUGGGGAAUAUUGCACAAUGGGGGAAACCCUGAUGCAGCGACGCCGCGUGAACGAAGAAGGUAUUCGUAUCGUAAAGUUCUGUCCUAUGGGAAGAUAAUGACAGUACCAUAGAAGAAAGCUCCGGCUAAAUACGUG